rnacentral:lncRNA from 1 species
UACCUUUUGCACUGUCACUACAAUGUAUGAUAUAAAAAGAAUAAUUUCUUCCUUAGACUUGGAGACUUGUUUCUAACAUCACCAGAUGUGUAUGUCCCAGAGAUAAAGACUAUAGCUUUUUCCCUCUACUCCACUGAACUGUCUGCAGUAUGGGACAUCACCCUACAAGUAGAGGACAACGUGCAAAGGCAGAUACACUUCUUUCUCUGAUAUACCAUUGUGCAUGGACUAAGCAGCAAAACUUCUCCCAGGUUGUAGUUAAAGAUCAUCCAUUUCUUGGACAACUAUUACUUCUUCAAGAACAAGGACAAGAGUGUGAGAUGGGUUAUGAUGCGACAAGACCUUCCUCAAGUUGUGUCCAUAACUGCUGAGUAUUAGACUUCAAUGUUGCAGCUAUGAGCUGUUUCAGAAGCUACAUAGCAAAAUGAGAUGAAACAAACACCUGUGCAAACUAGAACAGUAAUUGCAACAGCACACAGUUAUAUGAUAUGUACCUGGCACUGCACAUGAUAUGUACCUGGCACUGCACUGCAUGUAUGUCAGGCUUAAAAAUACUGACAUGAAGGGCCUAAUUAACAGUACUUAAUUGGCACCCGGUGUCUUUUGAAAUCAAGAAUUCACUGGACCUAACAUUUUUUUCUCAGAUCUCGUCUCCUCUGUAUUCCAAAUGUAUAUGAAAG